CUUGGUGUUGUGGGCAUGCUUGUCCAGGGUGUGUUACCCAUGGCCGCAUGUCCAAACCAUCCUCACCACUCGCUUUCCUUUCAUGUCUUUAAAGCUUUCUAGUGUAAUUUUCUUGUAUCGGGUUUUUGGGGUUGUAGGUGGAAUUUGGCCGAGCGGCUUUGGAACUAGGUGUGUAUUAGUAGGAUAUGUAAGCACGCCAAAUUUCAAGCCAAUCGGAGUUCACACGGGCCCUGUAGGCCACCGAGUGACUCCUCGCCACUUAGGACGUCUACACCUGCCACACCAAAAAUGCCUUAUAAUGUACCUUAGGGGGGACCAAGUAGUCAUCAAACCUCCCCCCGACCAAGUGUUGUAUACUUUCUUGCAAUCAAAGCUUUCUUGCAUCCAAUGUCUA